rnacentral:lncRNA from 1 species
AAGAAAAUAUUUCCAAAACCAAUAUGUGAUGUAAGUCCAACUUUGAAAGUCCAAACUCUGAGUAGUUGCUCCAAAUGAAAUUGAAUUCUGGGAUUAUAUUGAUCAAUAGUACCAUUUAUGAAAUUUAUGCAUUGUAUCAUUUUAUCUAUUGCAGAAAAGAAGUUGAAAUGAGAAAUAUAAAAAUUGAGUGAUUAGUUUUAGCCCAAAAUAAAUAAAGAUAUAUAAUAUUUUCUAAUCUGGGCAUGCUUUAAAUUUAGAAAAAAAGUGUGGCUUUUGAAGUAGUUUGUUAACAUUAAUAUAGUACUUUCUGAUUACUUUGCAAGGAAAAGUGAUUGACAUCAGAGAAGGUGAAAAUUUAUUAGUCAAAUUUCAAUAGAAAUAGUUUUACUAUAACAGGGAAUGGGAUUUUAAAAUUACAUGAUGUUUUAGUAAUCACAACCAAAAAUGUCUCCUCUCAUUUGGCUCAACAUAUUUCUAUAAAGUCUCUUUUUCGACCAUGACAGUUAUUAUAACCAUGUGUGGAAAUAAAUAAUACUUAAGAACCAGAGCUUUGAAUUUCUGUAUUAUAAAGUUUAAAACAGAUUUGAAAAGCACAUUUAGUUACAUUGAUUGCAUUCUAUACUGGAAAACAAAACAAAACAAAAGCUACUGUGAGAACUAAGGAACAGAUAGGUGAAAGAUAUGUAUUUAAAAGAUACAUAAAGUUUACGAAUUUUUAUGGUGUCUAUUUUCUGUGGGAUCCAAUUAAACCAAAGAGCUUCUGCACAGCAAAAGAAACUAUCAUCAGAGUGAACAGGCAACCUACAGAAUGGGAGAAAAUUUUUUCAAUCUACCUAUCUGAAAAAAGUCUAAUAUCCAGAAUUUGCAAGGAACUUAAACGUAUUUACAAGAAGAAAACAAACAACCCCAUCAAAAAGUGGGCAAAGGAUAUAAACAGACACUUCUCAAAAGAAGACAUUUAUGCAGUCAACAAACAUAUUUUAAAAAGCUCAUCACUGAUCAUCAGAGAAAUGCAAAUCAAAACCACAAUGAGAUACCAUCUCACACCAGUCAGAAUGGCAAUUAAAAAGUCAGGAAAACAAUAGAUACUGGCAGGGUUGUGGAGAAAUAAGAAUGCUUUUACAUUGUUGUUGGGAAUGUAAAUUAGUUCAACCAUUUUGGAAGACAGUAUGGCAAUUCCUCAAAGAUCUAGAACCAGAAAUACCAUUUGACCCAACAACCCCAUUACUGGGUGUCUACCCAAAGGAAUAUAAAUCAUUCUACCAUAAGGACACAUGCACACAUAUGUUUAUUGGAGCACAAUACCAAAGACAUGGAACCAACUGAAAUGCCCAUCAAUGAUAGACUGGAUAAAGAAAAUGUGGUACAUAAACACCAUGGAAUACUAUGCAGCCAUACAAAGGAAUGAGAUCAUGUCCUUUUCGUGGACAUAAACGAAGCUGGAAGCCAUCAUCCUCAGCAAACUAACACAGGAACAGAAAACCAAACACCGCAUGUUCUCACUCAUAAGUGGGAGCUGAACACUGAGAACAGAGAGAGGAACAACAUACACCAGGGACUGUUGGGGGUAGGUUUGAAGGGAGGGAACUUAGAGGAUGGGUCUAUAGGUGCAACAAACCACCAUGGCACAUUUAUACCUAUGUAGCAUACCUGAACGUUCUGCACAUGUAUCUUGUUGAGUUUUUUUUAGAAGAAAUAAAGACAAAAAUUAAUUGAUAGGCAGGUUAAAGAUUUGAAAUUAUAAAAAUGGAUUUAUUUAUAAUCUUUGAAGAGCACUCAUUUUGUGGGGUAAAGUUACUUAAUAAAACUUUUAUCUGGAAUACAUUAAUAAUUACUGGACUUUACUAUUUGGAGAACUCACAAUUUAGAAAAACAUUUUUACUAUUACAUUUCUGCUAUGUUUCUCAUAUAUUUAAUCUUCAGUUGAUACACAUAGAUCCGAUACUGCCUCUUUAAAUAUAUGGCAACUAUUCACUUAGAAGUAUUUAUCUGUUUAUGGCGGUGUUUAUCUGUCAGUCAGUCAGCUACUGUUUAUUGAGGGCCCACAGAAUA